rnacentral:rRNA from 1 species
GUGAAACUGCGAAUGGCUCAUUAAAUCAGUUAUAAUUUAUUUGAUAGUACCUAACACAUGGAUAACUGUGGUAAUUCUAGAGCUAAUACAUGCUAAAAACCUCGACUUCGGAAGGGGUGUAUUUAUUAGAUUAAAAACCAAUGCCCUUCGGGGCUCCUUGGUGAAUCAUGAUAACUUAACGGAUCGCAUGGCCUUGCGCCGGCGACGGUUCAUUCAAAUUUCUGCCCUAUCAACUUUCGAUGGUAAGAUAGAGGCUUACCAUGGUGUCGACGGGUAACGGGGAAUUAGGGUUCGAUUCCGGAGAGGGAGCCUGAGAAACGGCUACCACAUCCAAGGAAGGCAGCAGGCGCGCAAAUUACCCAAUCCCAAUACGGGGAGGUAGUGACAAUAAAUACUGAUGCAGAGCUCUUUUGGGUUUUGCAAUUGGAAUGAGUACAAUCUAAAUCCCUUAACGAGGAACAAUUGGAGGGCAAGUCUGGUGCCAGCAGCCGCGGUAAUUCCAGCUCCAAUAGCGUAUAUUAAAGUUGUUGCGGUUAAAAAGCUCGUAGUUGAACCUUGGGCCUGGCUGGCCGGUCCGCCUCACCGCGUGUACUGGUCCGGCCGGGCCUUUCCUUCUGGGGAACCUCAUGCCCUUCACUGGGUGUGUUGGGGAACCAGGACUUUUACUUUGAAAAAAUUAGAGUGUUCAAAGCAGGCCUAUGCUCGAAUACAUUAGCAUGGAAUAAUAGAAUAGGACGGCAGUUCUAUUUUGUUGGUUUCUAGGACCGCCGUAAUGAUUAAUAGGGAUAGUCGGGGGCAUCAGUAUUGAAUUGUCAGAGGUGAAAUUCUUGGAUUUAUUCAAGACUAACUACUGCGAAAGCAUUUGCCAAGGAUGUUUUCAUUAAUCAGUGAACGAAAGUUAGGGGAUCGAAGACGAUCAGAUACCGUCGUAGUCUUAACCAUAAACUAUGCCAACUAGCGAUCGGAUGGUGUUUUAUUUUUGACCCAUUCGGCAGCUUGUGAGAAAUCAAA